UUAAAUGAAAAAGAAAUUUCCGUCCAACGGGCAGAAUAGAAUAUUCUCACAUUCAGGGAAUUUCUCAUGGGAAACUUAACUUGACAACACAUAGUUUUACUAAGCAUUAAUGUUUAUUAUAUAAACGGAGUAUAUUUAUACACAAUUAAUAUUUAUUCAACACUGUUUGCAUGUUGUUAAACUUUUAUAAUAUUUACAAAUGUCUAACCGUAACCAUUUUGUUAUCGUAAAGAAAGUGCUGGAGAGCAACGCAUAUUCACAAGUAGCCUUUUUCGGUACAUAUUUAUUGGAGAGUAUGGAUGUUAAAAGUAAAUUGCCUUGCUGCCGCUUAUGCUACCUGCAGCCUACCCUACUGCAUCCCAAAUGGCCGACCGAAGUAGGAAACUCCCUGGUUUGUUUGGGCCUCGACAGCCCUGCCCUGUACAUGGGAACUAUCAGGCAACAAAACUCUUCUCCAGAACAACCGGUAAGGACAGGAGGAAAUGCAUACGAAACAAUGAAACUGUCACCAAACGAGUUCCAUUUGACCAUCCAUCUAUCCAUCAUCUAUACCCGCUCAUUCCUGCUCAGGCUUACGGGAGCCUAUCCCAGCAUGUAUUGGGCAAGAGAGACAAAGGGCCAGGAGCCGGAGCGAGCCGGGUCCCUGCUGGUGAAGUGUGCAGGAAUAAUGCAGCCAUCUCCACUGCUGCAUUACAACACAUGGACCUGCCUUUGUGCUGUAAAUCCAACAGAACACACACACGCACUCUCUCUCUCUCUCUCUCUCUCUCACACACACAAACACACACACACAGGCUCUGUUCAUUCUGCACCUCCAUAUCAGCACAGUGCCCAGAAGGAGGGGGACAUUCUAAACCAUUGUAAUAAUGAUGGUGAAUGAAGAGAAGACAUUAACACAGGACACUCCUCAGUACUUCUGAUGUUCCUUCAUAAGGAAGUGUUUGGUUGUUUCAUUAUGAAAUGGAUUAUAUUGUAUAUGGUGUGCUGCAGCCUCUUAGGCAGGACUCUGUAAAAAAAGAGAUUAUUAUCUAAAUGGAUCUCACCUGGAAAAAUAGUGGAUGAAUAAAAAUAAAUACGAAUGAUCAUA